rnacentral:rRNA from 1 species
UACGGAGGGAGCUAGCGUUGUUCGGAAUUACUGGGCGUAAAGCGCGCGUAGGCGGCUUUGCAAGCCGGAUGUGAAAUCCCCGGGCUUAACCUGGGAACUGCAUUCGGGACUGCAUUGCUAGAGUAUGGGAGAGGGAAGUGGAAUUUCAGGUGUAGCGGUGAAAUGCGUAGAUAUCUGAAGGAACAUCAGUGGCGAAAGCGACUUCCUGGACCAAUACUGACGCUCAUGUGCGAAAGCGUGGGGAGCAAACAGG